AACUGCGAGUGAAGCGGGAAAAGCUCAAAUUUGAAAUCUGGCGGUCUUUGGCCGUCCGAGUUGUAGUCUGGAGAAGCGCUUUCCGCGCCGGACCGUGUACAAGUCCUCUGGAACGGGGCGUCAUAGAGGGUGAGAAUCCCGUCUUUGACACGGACUGCCGGUGCUCUGUGAUGUGCUCUCGAAGAGUCGAGUUGUUUGGGAAUGCAGCUCAAAAUGGGUGGUGAAUUCCAUCUAAAGCUAAAUAUUGGCGAGAGACCGAUAGCGAACAAGUACCGUGAGGGAAAGAUGAAAAGCACUUUGGAAAGAGAGUUAAACAGUACGUGAAAUUGUUGAAAGGGAAACGCUUGAAGUCAGUCGCGUCGUCCAGGAUUCAGCCUUGCGAUCUCGCUCGGUGUACUUUCUGGUUCGAUGGGCCAGCAUCGAUUUCGAUCAUCGGACAAAGGUGGGGGAAAUGUGGCACCCUUUACUGGGUGUGUUAUAGUCCCUCAUUCGGUAUACGGUGGUCGGGAUCGAGGAACUUGGCAUGCCCUUUUUUUGUGGUCGGGGCUUCGGCCCACGUCUCAUGCUUAGGAUGCUGGCGUAAUGGCUUUAAACGACCCGUCUUGAAACACGGACCAAGGAGUCUAACAUGCCCGCGAGUGUUCGGGUGGAAAACCCGUGCGCGUAAUGAAAGUGAAAGUUGGGACCUUCGAGAGGAGGGCACCGACGCCCGGACCAGACCUUCUGUGACGGAUCCGCGGUAGAGCGUGUAUGUUGGGACCCGAAAGAUGGUGAACUAUGCCUGAAUAGGGUGAAGCCAGAGGAAACUCUGGUGGAGGCUCGUAGCGAUUCUGACGUGCAAAUCGAUCGUCGAAUUUGGG
rnacentral:rRNA from 1 species